UGGGGAAUAUUGGACAAUGGGCGCAAGCCUGAUCCAGCCAUGCCGCGUGAGUGAAGAAGGCCCUCGGGUUGUAAAGCUCUUUUGUCCGGAAAGAAAAGCGCUCGGUUAAUACCCAAGCGUCAUGACGGUACCGGAAGAAUAAGCACCGGCUAACUUCGUGCCAGCAGCCGCGGUAAUACGAAGGGUGCAAGCGUUACUCGGAAUUACUGGGCGUAAAGCGUGCGUAGGUGGUUCGUUAAGUCUGAUGUGAAAGCCCUGGGCUCAACCUGGGAAUUGCAUUGGAUACUGGCGGGCUAGAGUGCGGUAGAGGAUGGCGGAAUUCCCGGUGUAGCAGUGAAAUGCGUAGAGAUCGGGAGGAACAUCCGUGGCGAAGGCGGCCAUCUGGACCAGCACUGACACU
rnacentral:rRNA from 1 species